rnacentral:rRNA from 1 species
UACGGAGAGUGCAAACGUUGUUCGGAAUCAUUGGGCGUAAAGCGCGCGUAGGCGGUCUGGAAGGUCGGGUGUGAAAUCCCAGGGCUCAACCCUGGACGUGCGCUCGAAACCGUCAGACUUGAGUCCCUGAGGGAGAAGUGGAAUUCCUGGUGUAGGGGUGAAAUCCGUAGAUAUCAGGAGGAACACCGGUGGCGAAGGCGACUUCUUGGCAGGGCACUGACGCUGAGGCGCGAAAGCGUGGGUAGCAAACAGG